rnacentral:lncRNA from 1 species
AAUAGUUUGCCUCCUCAGCUUUCCUUGUUAGGAUUUGUUUUUGGUCUAGGUUCUAAUGUGCCAUGAGUUUUUGCUUUCAAUUUUAUCCCAAUACUAAACCGGCUAUUUAAACUUUGGUCUUAAUAUAUACUAUCCUGAGUAGCCUUCUUUUCUUGUGAAACUUGGGCCUCUUUUUUUCUGUUUUCACUUUUUAUUUUUUAAUGUUUUUGGUUUUCAAUUUCAAGAUUUUGUGAAGGGAAAUAUGAAACAAAAGAUAUGAUUUAUCAUUUUCAUUGAAUUCAACUUUUUUUUCUCCAACAAUUUCUAAAAAACAAAGGGGAAAAAAUGAAAUGAAAACAGAUUCCAAUCAGACCUGGGUGCGAUUGAUUUUUGCUCUAUCUAGGUGGAAACUCAGGUGCAGUCGACUUCACGUGAAGUUGAUAGCUGAGAGCUGUUAGAUGGUUUGACUGAUUUGACUAAAUUUUCAUCUAACGGCACUCAGCUAUCUACUUCAUGUGAAGUCGACUGCACCUGAGUUUCCACCCUCUAUCUAUUGCUACUAAUUGUUUUAUCUUUUGCGGUUACCAGUCGCUCCCGAAUAAGUGGAUACUGCAACAUAUCCCUCCACGAACUCAAGACAUUAUAUUGCGCGUGGUUCAUAGCGAAUGGCUUGCAAAAUACAGCUACCAUAACCCUAGAAACACCGGAGGACUGAGCGGAGGGUGGAAACGCUUUACCCUGGACAACAACCUGGAAGAGUACGACGUGUGUGUUUUCAAACCCGGAGGCCUGAUGAACAACACAUUGAUUUUGGAUGUCAACAUUUUCAGAGUUGUUGAGGAGAUUAAACCUUUGACACAAGUGAGAGCUUCAGGAUCAGCCAAAAAGAGUGGUAAGAAAAAGGCCUUAAAGGCCAUCCAAAUAUAAUAGAACCUCUCUUGUUAUCCCAUCUUUGUGGAUAUUUCAUGUUGUCUUGAAUUAGUGUAAUUUGUUGUUGGAAGUGUAAUGUACCUUAAAACAGGUCAGAACUUAGUUGUCUUAUGGGAGAGACCUAGUUCCUCAUGAUGUGUGUAUUGUAUGCUAUUCUCGGAUUGUGUUAACUUCUAUGUGUCUUCUAAUGGUAAUUUAGUGUUAAUCCUCUCUAUUGCAGCACCCUUUGUAGGCCUUUUUAGUCUUUAGGCUCAAUUAAUUACAUAGCAAAUCUUCCUAUCCCUUUCUUAAGUUACAUGUUAUAUUUUUCACUUCUAGAUGAUUCAAAAAUCAUAGUAUUUAUCUAUUUGUAAUAUUUAGGUAGUAUUUUUUCCCCCCUUUCAAUGAUACCCUUAAUGAUCUUAAAUGUGGGACAUUAUUGAUACAAUGGGUUGAGAAGAGUAAUGAAUCUAGUUUUUCUGUAGGGUUAAUUUUGUCUAACAGAAUUUUUAGGAUUUUGACAGAUAAAUUUAACUUAGGAAUCUAUUGUAGAUAAUGGGAAUUGUGAAGGGUUUAGUGUANNNNNNNNNNNNNNNNNUCAUAUGUGUAUCAAUAAAAAACAUUUUAACAUCUCUAACACUUGACACAAGAUCUUAUAUUAAAACAAUAAAUUAUUUACUAUUUUAACUAAUCAUAGAUUUACUAUUAUUAUUUACAACAACAACAAAGCCUUAUCUCACUAGAAGCUUUGUCUCACUAGGUGGGGUCGGCUACAUUAAUCAAACGACGUCAUUGAACUCUGUCAUGUAUUAUGUCUACAGAAAGACCGUUUAUAUGUAGAUCUCGUUUGUCUACCUCAUGGAUGGUCCUUAGGUCUUCUUCUGCCUUUCACCCUUUGUUUAUCUUCCAUUUCAUCCACCCUCCUUAGUGGUAUUCUGUCGGUCUUCUUCUCACAUGCCCAAACCAUCUGAGACGCGAUUCUACCAUCUUUUUCACAAUGGGUGCUACUCUAACUUUCUCCCUUAUAUCUUCGUUCUUUAUUUUAUCCAAUCGUGUAUGACCACUCAUCCAUUUCAACAUCUUCAUCUCUACUAGAUGCACGUAAGAUAUUUAAAACUUUUAACUUUUCGUAAGAUGUUUUCUCCAAUCUUCACCUCUAUAUUAGGGUUUUUCCUUCUCAGACCGAACUUACAUUCCAUAUAUUCUGUCUUGCUACGGUUUAUGCGCAGAUCAUACACUUCUAGAGUUUUUCUCCAUAAGUUCAACUUCUAAUUUAGGUCUUCCCUUGACUUUUCCAUAAGGAUGAUAUCAUUGGCAAAAAACAUGCACCAUGGCACAGGCUCUUGGAUGUGCUCUGUGAGUACUUCCAAGACUAAUGUGAAAAUGUAUGGACUUAAGGAUGAUCCUUGGUGUAAUUCUAUAUCAAUAGGAAAUUUUUCUGUCACACCACCUUGAGUCUUCACACUAGUUGUGAUCCCAUCAUACAUGUCUUUAAUUGCACGAAUAUAUAUGACUCUUUUCUUUUCUAAAACCUUCCAUAAGACCUCCCUUGGCACCCUAUCGUACGCUUUUUCCAAAUCAAUAAAUACCAUAUGUAGAUCACUUUUAUUAUUACGAUACCUCUCAAUCAUCAUUCUUAACAGGUAUAUCGCUUCGGUGGUAGAUUUGCAUGGCAUAAAUUCAAAUUGGUUCUCUGUUAGUGUCUCUUUUCUCAACCUCUGUUUUAUCACCCUCUCCCAUAACUUCAUGGUAUGGCUCAUGAGCUUGAUCUCUCUAUAAUUUCUGCAACUUUGUAUAUUCCCCUUAUUCUUGUAGAUAGGUACCAACGUGCUCUUUCUCCACUCAUCAGACAUCUUUGACCUUAAAAUUUCAUUAAAAAGCUUGGUUAACCAAUUGAUGCAUUUUUCUCCAAGACCCUUCCAAAUCUCAAUCGGGAUAUUAUCAGGUCUUAUCGCCUUGCCAUUUUUCAUCUGCUUUAGAGUCUCUUUUAUCUCGAAGUUUCGAAUCCUUCGAUAGUAGUCAAAGUUUUUUAUCUUCUUUCUUUGUGCAUAACCGACCAAGAUUCGGAAGAGUCUUAUGUCAUUCAUUAAAUAACUCAUAGAAGUAGUUCUUUCACCUUUCAUUAAUCUUCCCUUCUUGAGCCAGCACCUCUCCAUCCUUAUCCUUUAUGCACUUAACCUGAUCCAAAUCUUUCGUUCUUCUUUCACGGCUCUUUGCGAUUCUAUAUAUACAUUUUUUCCUUCUUUCGUGUCCAAAGACUGGUAGAGACUCUCAUAUGUUCUUGUUUUUGCUUCACUUACAGCCACUUUUGUUUCUUUUUUAGCCGCCUUAUAUUUUUCCUAAUUAUCUGCAUUGCGGCAUAAAAAUCACUCUUUAAAGCACUCCCGUUUUAUCUUUAUCUUUUCUUGUACACUCGCAUUCCACUACCAGGACUUUUUGUCUCUUGGUCCUAUCUCUUUAGAUUCACCAUAACUUUCUUUUGCUGUUCUUUUAAUAACUUCUGCCAUCUCCCUCCACAUCUCUUUUGCGCUUCCAUUUCCAUCUCACUUUAUCUCUUCUCCUACCCAUCUUAGAAAACUUCUUUGUUUCUCACCUUUCAUUCGCCACCACCUCGUCCUUGGGUUCUUCGUAUGAUGUCUUUUUCUCAACUCUUGCUCAAUGCGAAAAUUCAUGACGACCAUCCUAUGUUGUAUUGUUAAACUCUCUCCCGGGAUAAUUUUACAAUUAAUGCAAAAUUUUUGAUCGACUCUCCUCAACAAGAAGUUGAUUUGAGAGCUUGUCAUGUCACUCUUAUAGGUUAUAAGAUGUUCGUAUCUCUUUUUAAAACAUGUAUUUGCGAUGAGAAGGUCAAAAAUUGAGAAAAAGUCCAAAAUAGUUUUACCCUCGGCAUUGAUCAUUCUGAAACCACGACCUCCGUGAAUACUUCCAUACCCAGUUACUUCUCUUUCAACGUAGCUAUUUAAAUCUCCUCCUAAGAAAAUCUUAUCUCCCAAAGAUAUGUCUUGGACCAAACUCUCUAGAUUGUCCCAAAACCUUAUCUUGUGUUGUUCGUCCGAACCCACUUGCGAAGCAUAGGUGCUAAUCACAUGAAAAGCACCUUCCUCCACCACAAGUUUGAUAGAGAUGAUCCGAUCUUCUAUUCUCUUGAUAUCCACUACGUCCUUCUUCCCCUGCUUAUCCACAAUAAUAUCAACCUCAUUCCUAUUCUUUACCUUUCCUGUAUACUAAAGUUUGAAUUCGAAAGUAUCCAACUCCCUAACCUUCGCACCAACCCAUUUUGUUUCUUGUAAGCACACAAUGUUAAUCUUCCUCCUUGUCAUUGUGUCCACCACUUCCAUGGAUUUUUCUGUUAGAGUGUUUAUGUUCCAUGUCUCAAAUCUCAACCUUCUGUCGCUCCGACCUUUACCUUUUACUUUGUGAACUAGCUUAUUUACCCUCGUUCAUUCCAAGAAAACGCGGGAACUCUUUCUCAUUUAACACUACAUCCGGGUAUUGAUGCAGCGGCUCUUGCUCACUCGACACUGUACUCGAACCAUACAACGUGUUGCUUCCGGACAACGACCUAGUUUUAGCGCAAUAACGUCUUUAAUUCAUGUCAUGAAGAUUCGACUAAGUUUUUAUGUUGGUUGUCGAUGACCUAACACAACCCUCCUACUUUAUUCGGGUUUAGGACCGGCUAUGUACCGCAAGUGUAACAUUGGCGGAAUUUUAUUAUUAUUUUCUAUCAGCUUAAACUUUUGGGAUGAGUGGUUUCAUGACAUGAUAUGUUUAUUAUCCCUAGUACCCGGAUGGUUAUUUUGUAUAGUAUGAGUGAUGUUUAUUUUUUACUCAUAGCUCAUUGUACACAUUGUACAAAUAUUCCAUUAGUUUGCUAGCGGGAUUCUAUUUAAUUAUAUAUAACUAAAUCCAAUCCAAUCAAAAUAAUCAUCUACAUAAAAAUUAAAAUAACCAUCCGCAUACCUACUAAAAUGAUCAUCCUAAAUUGACAAUUAAAAUAGAAGAAGAAGGAGAUAAAUAAACAGAAAAAGUAACUAUGAGCAUCCAACAAUUUAAUUUUUAUUAAAAAAAGAAAAAUAUAUAAUUUGACACAUGAGUCUUAUGAUUUGAUGUAACUAUAAAAUUGAAGAAACAAAAAAAAAGUUUAAACAGACAAUUGAGUGUUUAAUUUGAUAUUGUCAAACUGGCUGUGAAAGAAUCAUCAGAAAAUCGCAAAAGCAGACAACUUUUUUCCACACCGCUGUCGCCAAUAAGAAGGAGCUUGAUUACGUAAUCGUAAUCUGCACGAGCAUUAGCUGGUGGUGCCGCCAUCGAUGCUUACCACUAAACUUUGAAGGCAGAAAGUGAGAGAAGGGUUAUGGUAUAUCCAAGAAGGAGAGAGAUCGGAUGGAAAGAGAGGAAAGAGGAGGUGUCGGAAAUGGUUAUCUACAAGGAACCAUCUGGUUGAGUAUCGGGAGAGUGGCGUGAAAACAGCGGCUGUGGGCGAAGCGUGUCGGACUAACCGACGGAGGUAGAGGCAGUGUCAGUAAGAGACUGCAGUGGUGUCAGUACCAGAAAAGAUGGCGACAAAUUUUAGUCUUACACAAUUCUAUUGUAAAAUCAUCAACUUAAUAAUUUUUAAAUUAAUUAAUUAUAAUUAAUUUUUCAAAUACUUAAUUACUACACCGUAAAUACUAAUUUUAAUAUAAUUGAUUGCAAAUACAAAGUCUUUGAAUUUAAUGGUUCUUAAAUUAUAAGUUAUUUUUACUCAUAGUUUGAGUUAAUAAACGUUAAAUUGAAAACAAAAAUUUUAUUAAAAAACACUUUUGUGGAAACUAUUUCAAGAAAGAAAAAAAAAAUACUACACCUCAAUAGUAUAAUAUAAAAAGUUAGAAACAUAACUAAUGUGUACAAUGGCUUAUUUGUAUAAUGUGUAUAAUGAGCUAUAUGAGAUGUCUCAUGAUAAGAGUGUUCUAAUACCAUGUCAUAAUACCGCUCAUCCUAGAAGCUUACACUAAUAAAAAAAGAUAACACUAAUGGUGAUAUCUCUAAUCCUCCUUAAAUCUCCAUUAUCCAUACUUUUCCAAAAGUUAUAAUUUAUAAAUGCCUAAUGCAUCAUAUUUUUUAAAUAAUUUAUUAUUAAAAUAACCAAAUUAUUUUAAAUUAACCUCUUAAAUUUUAGAUAAUUAAUUUUAAUUAUAAUAUCAAUUUUAUCUUCUACCAUUACCACCCACUACUCCACUACCCCUAGUCUCUCAGUCUUCUCUCUCCACCGUCGCUGUUGCUAUGUAAUCUCUCUCCACCGAGGCUGCAAUCUGUGACCUCAUUGCCGAUCUCCGCUCCUCUCCGCCGCUGUUGUGGUCUCUGCUCACUCAGUCUCGGUCGCUUCCUCUCUACUCUCUCGCCGCAGGUCAGAUCUCUUCACCGUUCUCCCUCUUCUAGUUUUGUGUGCCUCUCUCGAUAGCUUGAGUUCUGAUUAACUGAUUACUGAAUAUUGAUGACUUGAUCUGUUAAGAAUAUGUAUUAGUUCAAUUUUUAAAUUUCUAAUUUAUUAGAUUAGUUCUGGUUUUGAGAUGAAAAUGACGUGUGUGAUUAAGCUUGGUUAAAUUCAACAGGAGCUCCUCUAUAGCCUUAAUUUGCUUGUGUAUGAUUAAACCUUGUUACUUUGUGAAAAAAUAAAGUAAUUAACAUUCUGGAGCAUUAAUUUGCUUGUCAUUUGAAUUUAAUUAAAGACAAAUGGAAGGAGAUAGGCCUUAGUUUGCUUCUGUUUUGCUUGCCAGUUAGGUUCACUAAUCCAUCUUCAUUAAACACAAUGUAAUAAGUGCCUUGCAUGUAAUUGUUUGCAGUUCUCGAUUUAUAUUUUGUUCCUUUUUUGAAUCUUGACGCACACAAAUGCCUAACAACUUGUGAUACUUGCGCUGUGUAAAAGCAUUUGCUACAUCUUUACAGGUUAUUUUCUUUGAAAUUACUUGCUUUCCUUUGAUCAGCUGUUUUACUAAAUUUGGUCCUUAAUCAGAAUUCAGAAUUGUCAAUAAAAAGGAUGAGUUCAGCUAGGAUUCAGGCAUUCAGCUAAUAUCAGCCAAUUUUUUGAAAUUAUCCUUUUAUCCUAAUUUCUAAAUCUUAAAUCUUAAACCCUAUCUUAAUUCUAAUCCUAAACUCUAAAGUCUACACCCUCCAAAAAAUGAGGGUUUAAAAAAUAAUUUACAAAUAAAAAAAAGUUACCUAAUAUUGGCUAAUUAAAAGUUGAUUCCCUUUUCUUAUUCUCUGUGUUUUGCUAUUUUGGCUGUUCCAGAUUGCAAUUAGGCACCAAAUUCUAUUAAUUUCACAAAAAUGGAGUUGCUGGUUCCACUUGCAUUGCUUGUCAGCGUCUUCCUCAUUUUUCUUCUUUUGUCCCCGCGACAUCCCAAAUCUGGUUACUCUCUUUUCGCCUUUAUAUAUAUGAAAUUUGGUUAAUAUGCUUUAUUAUGGUAUGCGAGUAUCUGAUUUCUUUUGCAUACUUACCAGGGAGUAAAGGAAAAUCAGCUCAGCCUAGCUUAAACAAUCAUAAGGUACAUAUUUGUAGCUAAGUGAAUUAGUGAAGUGCUUUAUUGCUGUGGAUUCUGUUAUUACAUAGAAGUAGAACCCUUAAUUAGUUUAAUGUUGUUAGUGACUUUGUGGUCACUGUCAUUUUGUUAUUAAUUUUCUUUCCUAUGAAGAACAUAAGCCUCUGGGUUUAUUAACUAAGAACGUUAUGGAUCCAGGUGAAACCAAUUGAAUGUGCUAAAUGUCUUGGCUUCAAUUUUUUAUGCAAUUAUUAAUAAGCUAAGCUUGUUUAAGAUUUUCUGUCAUUUGAAGGGUUUUGCAGAAGAGGCAUAAUGUAAUAGCUAAAUCCCACUUUAUCGCCGUACGAUUGUAUGAAUAAAAAUUAGUGUUUAACCAUUUCUUUCUUUAGUUAAUUCUUUAUUUUGUAUUUAUUUAUUUAUUUAUUUAUUUUUUUUGCAAGUUUGAAAUUGAGGAAAAUUAUGAAUUGUGGAACUUGAACUUUUGGGUGAGGUUCUUCUUAACCAGGAUUAUGGAGUGGAACUGUAAUUUUUGAUCCUAUGCUUCACCUACUGAAAUAUAGGUCCCACUUUGAUCUCCAAAGGAGAACUAUCAUUUUUGUAUGUUAUAGUGUGAGCAGAACUUGGUAUGAUAAGAUUAAAAUAGUCUUUCCAUAAGCUUAAUUACACUGGCAACAGUGAAAUAGUUUGAAUGAGCAUGAAUGUUGAACACAUGUUGCAAACUGAAAGGGUUAAAAUUACUUUUAAACAAAAAUAAGUUGAUUUACUUUUCCCCAAAGGUAAAUUUUACGGGGGAAGCGAGUGUGUUUCAAUCACAAUUUUGUGAGUUCUUUAAACACGCUUUAUUUAUUUUUAUCUACUUUUUAGAGCAUUUUGUAUACUCUGUUGUAUCCAGGCAUCAAAGUCGUACACUAAAUCUGAAGUCUCAACGCAUAACAAGAGAACAGAUUGUUGGAUAAUUAUCAAGAACAAGGUAUGUUAUUUUUUUGUUGCUUUAUACUUUCAUUUAUGACUCGGUUCAAAGUUUAAACUCUAAUAGUUUUCUUUCCCACUUCUAGUCUUUUAUUUCCAUUCUGUCCCAUUUAAAGGAUACAUUGUUUCCUAAUAGUAUGAAUUUGGGGUUUCAAUACUCUAGGUAUAUGAUGUUACCUCUUAUGUAGAGGAACAUCCAGGUGGUGAUGCCAUUCUAGCACAUGCUGGAGAUGAUUCAACUGAAGGGUUUUUUGGGUAUGUGCUUAUUCUAUUACAUACAUUUACAUUGUUAUAUAUUUAUAUAUAUUUGGUUUCUUACCGAGUUUUUUCUAAAUUUUCCCUAUAAUAUUUUUCUUGUUUCCUUCUUUGUAUAUACUAGUUAGACCUUUUCUUAUUAUACUUAUAGGUUUGUUGCUUAGAGAAACGUGAAGAGCAUAAAAUAUCUACCCAAAAAUGCUUUUAAUAUUUAUGAAGAGUUAGAUUCUUAUUAUGCAUAUGUAAAGAUCGUGUCCACUUAAAAUUGUGGAUUCAUCAUGCCAUCUUAUUAUUUAAGAAUACUAUAUUGAUAUAUUUAUUGAAGCUGAAGGAGUUUUCUGACAAAGUAGCCAUAGGUAUUAUGCUGGUUUUUCACAUGAUAACAACAAUAAUAAUGUUAGUCAAUAGUUGCAUACAUGAUGACUACAACAAUAAUUGUGGAUAAAAAACAGGAGCCGAGCACCUUUUUAGCUUCAUGAUACACCCUCAGAUAGUCUAUCAGAUUCAAGUUUAGCUCCCUUCCUCUUCAUCCCAGAUAUGUACAUCCAAAUUUUAUCUUUGACAUGCCUUAUACCUAUCAAUAUGGUUAUAACCUAUAAUUAAAUAAGCUUAGAAAAUUUUAUAGGCCACCAUUAUUUGUAUUUUCUAGCAAAGAAUUUUGGUUUUGGCCCUAGGAUGUGAAUGUAUAUUGUUAUGGCACAUACAUAGUACUAUUAGUUAUAGUUCUACAUCCAAGUUAUGACAUACAUAAAUCAUAUGGUUUAAAAGUAGGCCAUCAUGGGUGAAUACUUUUUCGUCAUGCUUAUCUCCUGCUUGAUUCUUUCUCUUUUUGUAUUUGGUCAAAAUACUUGUUUUGGCAGUGAAGGCAAUAAACAUUUAUUCUUUCUAAAAUAUCUUCUCUCAUCACCCUUCAAUGACAGGCCACAGCAUGCAACUCGAGUGUUUGACAUGAUUGAUGACUUUUACAUUGGAGAUUUGGAGCAAUAGUAGCUAUGUUAUUGAUUUAUGGUUUGUGAUAUUCAAGAGAAAUGUCGUUUGAGAUUUUUCAAUUUUUUAUUGCUUGUUACCCCCAAUGAGCAUAGUGUAGCUGAGAUAGUGAUGGCAUAGUGGCUAGGGGGAGAGGGAAACCUAAGAAGAUUUUGAUGAGUUGAUAAGAAGAAAUUUGGGCUGAGUUCAAAUGUGAUUCAUGACAGGGCUUAAUGGCAUUGUUUUGACCAUGUAGUUGACCUCAACUAGCGGGACAAGGUUUUGUUGUUUUUGUUGUUAUCCCCUUACAUUUUGCACUUUUUUGCCGAUCAAUUAUCUUUGUUAGUCAUUAAUUGAAGCAUUUGAACUGUGAAGUAAGCUUAGGCUUUGAUAUCAAUUGUGCAUUAAGUUGGAGAAAUUGAUUGAGAAACAAUGAAUAAGCAUGAGCCCAUAAGAUACUAAGGAUGGAUCUUGUCAUCUUGGAGGAUGUGUAUAGAUUGCAAAGCCAUCAACAAAAUCAUUGUAAAUUGGAAUUAAGAUGAUUUAGUGUGUUAAAAAUGUAAAAUGUCAUUUUUACCCUUCAUUUGAAAACUACAUGUAGAGAUGUUUAGAUGAAUGAUGGAUCUGUUAUGUCUAUAGAAACAUAUACCUAAGUUAGAUGGAGGAUUAAUGAACAAUUAUAAUUAUAAUAGUAUAGUUUUCACUUAAUUUUGUUCAGUUUAAUGCAACAAAUAACUUACAUACCUUAAAUAUUAUUUAUAUUUUAAAAUACCAAUCUUGACUGGUUUGUUUUCUUGGUUUGUACGUAUUUUUGAAAGUUUGAUUUUCUUAUGUUUUCUUGAAGAAAACUACUUUAGUUACAAGUUAUAGAUGAAGGGAUUCACUUAAUUAAAUAAGUUCUGGACAUUGUUCUAUUGCAUAACUUUUCCACUAAUCUAAUUGUUGAAUCUUAUUAUGGUUUUAUAAGGAAAUUUAAUAUCAUAUUAAGGGUUGAUUAAAGGUUCAUCUCUUACAGUAAUAUUUAUUAAGUGCAUUGUUUUCCUUUUUGUCUUCUUUCAAGCUUCACACAUGAUCCUCAUUAUUAAACAAUGCCAAACAGCAAAAAAGAAUGCUAUGAAAGUUUAUGCACCUACAAAUGGAUGUGUAUGUUAUCUCAUAUUGGUCAAUUACUCUCUUGAAUUCUUCUGUUUGUUUGCUUUUCUUUUUCUUUAAAUUCUUUUAUCUAAAAAAUGUUCUCACAAAACUUUGGGCCACCAUAAUUUUGAUCAAAAUGCAAAAGCUUCAUGAACACUUUAUGCAGUACAUCUUAUAUUAUACGUUUGUCCUUUUCUAUGUUUCUCAAAACAGUAAUUAACAAUGUUAAUUUGAUGUCUUUACAAUAUAUUACAUAACUAUUCAAUCGUAUCUAUUGUUUUGGAUAAUUAUUUCUAUGAUAGAUAUAGAAAAUAGUUAUUUUUAUUGAAGUACACAUGUACAAAUUUUUCUUAAACAUAGUGCGUCAAGACUAAAUUUAAAAAAAGUAUAUAAAUGCUUUUUAUUUUAUUUCCAAUAUAAAAAUUGAAAACCAAAAUUGAUUUGGUUUUGUUUGGUAUGUAAUAUAUUAUAUUAUGUGGAUAGAUUUUUCCCUUUUUCAAUGGCCAUGCCAAAGGGAUGAGGGGAAAUUUUAUUACAUUCUGAUUUCCUUUUUUCUUUUAAUUAUUUUGUAAUAUGAUAUGUUGAUUGAUUUGGGGGGUAUAAGUAGUUGGUGUUUAGUGGGUGUUUAUGCUAAGUAAUUUUGUUAGCAAUGUGUGUUUAGAGCUUUUUCCUUGUCACGGUCAAGAAUUCUAUCAACUAUUGAAAGGAGAAAUUACUUCGAUAAAGAUACUAAAAAUGUCUUUUUUUUAAAGAUAUUUACAUAUGUCAUAAUAUUAUUGGACAUUUUUAUUAAACCGAUUAAUAAUUUAUUUUUUAAUAAAUUAGAACAAAAUCGGUUUAUCAUAGCAACAAUAAUAAACCCAAUUGUCUGCACUAUGAUUAUUAGACUCGAUUUGAUCCGAUCGAUUUACACGAUCUAAACAAAUUAUGUUUAAAUUUUUUGAUAAAAAGACAAAUAUAUCUCUAACUUUUGUUUAAAAAAAAAAAAACCCAUAAUCCAGUGGAUUAUGUAAAUUGGUAGGUUUGACCGGAUCUGAUAACAAUUGGAUUUAUUGUUAUUAUUAUAAAAAGAUCGAUUUUAUUUUAAUUUGUUAAGAAAAUUCAAAAAUAACCGAUUCAUUAAUACGUUUAAAAAGACGUUACAAAAAGACGUUUUACACGUCGAGAGGAUCCUCCAUUGAAAAGACCUUAUUAUCUGAAGCCAAAAUAUACUAUAUUUAAUAAUAGAAAAAUAUAUGUUGGCUCAAUAUAAUAAAGAAUUAACUACAAAUAAUACAUCUUGUUUACAUUAACAAUUAUUAUGUGCUACUCUUUCAUUCUAGGAAUUCUUCAAUGGGCCAAAGCGAUUGCUAAAUUGAAACAAUAAUUCUCUUGGCCUUUUCCUUUUCUUCUAUACCUUAGUGGAUCCAGAUUCAUGAUUUUGCUAGGCUAUAAAUUCUUACACUGUGUGAAAGCAAUAAUUAAUUUCUACAAAAAGAAUACAUAUAUAUAAUGUGUAUGGAACAUAAAAACAUGUUAAAAACAAACAUAACAAACGCCAUGGGGUUGGCUUUAUUUUCCUUUGAGCGAAAAGGAACAAACGGUUUUAUUCUUUUUCUGUGUUGGCAUUUUGGUGUUUUAUUUACUCAUGGCAUGACAAUUGACAACACAAUAAGUAAAGGAGAAUAAUAAUUCCUCAAAAUAAUUAAAUUUUGUAACAAAUUAAAGGUCAUUCCAUUAUUAUAGACGAAAUAUGAAUCAUUAUAAGCCUUGAAGACCCAAUCAAUAUAUGAAUAAAAUUUCUUUAAGUUGUUAUUUGUCUAUAGUUGAUCAAUCAAUUGCUGAAUAUAUAAGGUGAAAUUUAAAUUCUAAUACUUGUUUAAAUGAAAAAGAGAAUAAUUAUUCGACUAAUUUAAGUUGAUUUAUUAAUUACGUAAUUUGACCUUAAAAUUUGUUUUGCUAACAUAUAUAUACUGGUAGUAUAUAAAGACAUAAGUGAUUAGUAGUCCUUUACCAAUAUGGGUUACUGAAAUAGUAGGCAAACUCAUUCUCUAAUCUGAUCAAUUCCUAAGAAUAAAAGAAUACUUCUGUUAAAAGAAGUAGUCACAAUUUCUAGAAUCGGAUUAGUAAACAUUCCAAUAACGAAAUCUAUAUAUACGUAAAGUAAAGACUUUAAAAGGGGAAAAAAAACUCAUUUCUUUAAGUUGAUCGGCCUAAAUAAAAUUGACUAAUACAUAAAUAUUAUUCUAUUUUAGUUUUAAAAUUUUUUAAAUAAAUUUAAUGUUGUCUCACUAUUAAAUUUGACACGAACAAUUAACAGAGUGAGUGACAUGGAUGAUAGCAAUAUUUUUAGUUGAGUCAUAUCUUCUUAUUUCUAUGUGUUAGAUAAACAUAACUAAAAUAUUUUUGUAACACUUUAUGUUUUCGUCCUUUUUCUUGUACAAAAUUCCAAAUUUCAAUUAUCAAUCAUUAAUGCUUUAGAAUUAAAUAAAAAGAUUUUACAUUGUUGAUCGUUUUUGUCUUAAUUUUACUUACGUAUUGAAAUCAAACAUUAUUAACUCUUUAAUAUGUUAAUUGUUUAUGUCAAAUUUAAUUAUAAGAUAAUAUUAAACUUAUAUAAAACUUUUUAAAAUUGAAAUAAAAUAUUUAAAAUGUUAAAGACCAAAUUAAAACUUGACUUAAAUGUUAAAAACUAAAAUAAUACUUUAUCCUUUUAAAUAUUAUAUAAUUCAUUCCACAUCAAAUAAUACAAAAGCAUAUAUUCCAAAAAAAAAAAUGCAUUUUUUUAACAAUUUAAGUUAUAAAUGACGUGAUUGAAAAUUUUAUCAAAUAUAAAAACUUAAUUACAAAUUUUUAAAUUAAAAAAUUUAAUUUAAAAUCUUAUAAAAUUAUAAAAACCAACGUAAUAAUUGAACUUACUAUAUACAGUAAUAUAUAAAUUUCACAAAAUGCGAAGAUUUAAAGGGUUAGAGAUAUUAACUACAACUUUAAGAAAAUAAUAAAAAAAUUGGUGAGGUGUCCUAUACAAAUACUGAAUGCUGGCACAUGAUUUUCUGCCUUUAGUGGUCCCUUGAUGACAUAACUAUAUUCGGUAAUGUUUCAGCCACAUUUUCUAUUUUAUUUGCAGCUACAUGAUUUAUAUGGGAUUUUAAUUUAAUUAGCAUCCUUAAUUUUGUAAGAGUAUUGAUACUCUAAUUACUAUAAGAUGAUUUAAUCAAAGGUCUUGAACAUCAUGAACAAAAAAUAUUUUAAAAACUUAUAACAUGGUGAACUUUUUCUUUUCUUUUUACCUCAAACUAAAUAAAACCCGAAACAUUUCUCUAACAUAUUUAGCAGUUUUCAAACAAAAUAAAAAUUAAAAAACACUCUUUUGUGUGAGACCCUAUAUCAAUAAGCGAAGGCUAGAAGAGUUAACUGUCUCUUCAAAUAAACUUGUAAAUAAUUAAGGUAAAAACUCACUUAUGUCUUAAUGUGAAAUUGAUAAUAAUUAAAAAUUAUUAAAUAAUAAUUUAAUUAAAAUUUAUAAAAUUAUUUAAUAUUUUUCAACUAUAAAUUAGUGAAAAUUCACGUACAAUUAAUUUUACGUGAAGUUGAUAAUUGAGAGCCGUUAGAUAAAAAUUUAGUCAAAUCAAUCAAAUUAUUUAACGACUCUCAACUAUCAAUUUUACGUGAGUUUUUACCCUAUUAAUUUCAUAUGAAAACAAUAACUGCACAUAACCAAUAAUAAGAGUAAAGUUUAUCUUCUAGUUACUUGCAACAUUUAUACAGAUUAAUAAAGAAUAAUUUUAAAUCAUGUAAAAAUUAGUCAAUUUCUUUACUAAAAUUUAUUUUAACAAAAGAAAAAUCAAUUUUGAAAAUUAUAAUACAUAUAUAGUAGUUGAGAGUUGGGCAGCCAUAAAUACAUUUUCAAUUUGGUAGCACUUACCAAUGUGUAAUCUGUGCCUUUCUGAAAGGUUGGUUCAUAUGACUAUUGAUCUUUCACAAACCAAGCCUUGUUAAGGUAGACAUUCCUCUUCCUACACCUAUGACAAAUAUUUGCAUUUUUGGAUAUUUCAACAUGCAAUAAUUUUAACUCUUAAUAAGUAUUUGUUGAGUGUAUAAAAGUGCCACCUACUUCACCUGUUCACCAACAUUCGAUUUGAAGAAGGGUCGUAUCCAAAAUUAAAGAUAUAGUAAUUAAGAUACUUGGCAUCGAUAUUAUUAAUUUUGAAUAUGAAUAAUGAGGGUUUCAAAGCCACAUGAACUCGUCAAAAUUCGUACAUGUUUCUGGUGAAAUGAAUAAUUAUAAUCAUGACGUCAGCACUCAGCAGCAGGGGAUAUAUAUAAACGAGCAUGAUGAUGAUGUGGUGUGGUACCUCUUGAAUUUAUUUUCUAAUCAUGCAUUUGAGCUUGAAAGCAAGCUCUUAUUUUAUUAAUGAGUUAUAGUUCAAAGCAUAGUCUUUUUAUAUUUAUUUUGGUAUUUUUUUCUAACUUUUUGAGUUUAUAUUUUUUUAUUAAUUAAAAAAAAAUAGCUAGAAUUAAACAUAUAGAAAAAAAAAAAACUUAAUAUGAAAUUUAACAUAAUAUAUGUUAUAAGAGAAAUUGAAGAUUGAGCUACUAAUUAGAUUUAGAGUAAAGUAUCGUUUUUGUCCUCAACGUUUGGGGUAAAUUCUAUUUGUGUCCCUAACGUUUAAAUCGUCUUAUCUGUAUCCCUAACGUUUGUAAAAGUGAUUCAAUGUUAUCUUGCCGUUAAUUACACAUCAUGAACGCUUUAGUUUGAAUUUUAAAAAUCUCUUCUUGAAGUUAGAAUACAAAUGUCUGGAUAGAAUCGAUCAUCUACCCCGAAAAAUAGCUCAUCAAAAGUUGAAACUAACUCCUACAACAUUUAUAUAAUUCACUUUUCUAGGGACAUAAUUGAAUCUAAACACAAAUAGUGGGUAUAAUAUUAAAAUUGAACACAUUCAAAUGAAACCUAAUUGAGAAUGAAUGCAUCAAAGUGAAAAUAAUUGAAAAAUAUAAUCUGAUUUGUUAGUAUAAUUGAUAGUAGGAUAACAUUGAAUCACUUUUAUAAACGUUAGAGAUACAAAUAGGACGAUUUAAAUGUUAGAGACACAAAUAAGACUUAUCCUAAACGUUGGAGACAAAAACAUAUUUUACUCUUAGAUUUAUAUGCGUCAAUUCACUUCAUUUUGGAUAACUUGUCCUUUUUAUAUACUUAUUCUUUUUAAUUACUGUUUUUAUGUAUUCACUUUCUUUUAAUUCAUUUUUUAUAAAGCAAAAUAAAUUUUUUCUUGCCAUAAAUAAUAUAUAAAUUUGCUGUGAUUUGUGAAAAUGUGAUCAAUGUGUAAGAAAAGGAAGCUAGUUGGCAUUUGAGAUUGAGUUGUAUAAUAGCUAAGUAGGUAUAUUAUAUAGGUCAAUUCUAUGGUGUUUAUAAAUUAUUGUCUAAAUUUUAUUUAACUAAUUUUUUUAAUAAAUUUUAAUUUUUUAAAAAUUAUUUUUUUUAUAUUUUUCUAAUUAAAUAUUAAUUUUUAUUUUUUUAAUAAAUCAAUCAUCAUCUUUUAAACACUAUAGCAUUUACCUAUUAUAAAUAUAUGGGGUUUGAUGAGAUGAGUGGUAUCUAUCUUUUUCUUUUGGAAAGGGAAUUGAAGGGAAGAUAUUGACCUUAGUGAAUCACUUAUUAGUGAAUUAUUAUCUCAUCAUUAAUAAUCAAACUUUGAAUGACUAUUUUCCAUUUGCCAACCCUGCACUUCUUUGCCUAAAAGCUGCCAUACUUUACAAAAAGGCCAAAGCUGUUACAAUUUUUAAUACCAACUCUCUCUCAAAUAUCUUUAUGGGUAAUUCAAACUUUGACUUUUGGAUAGAGUUAUUCUAAUGUAACUCAAAAUUUUGAAUUCAAAAUCUCGAUAUACAUCACCAAGUUAAAAUUUGAAAGAGAGAAUUUAAAUAAUAAUUAAAAUGCCUAAUUAUAUUGAAUUUGAUUUAAAUUGUUUCUAAUAGAAUAAUUAACUCCCAUCUCAUGCAUUUUUAAAUAUAACUUUUUGAAAUAUAAUUUAAUGAAUAUUAUUCAAAAACAUUUCUAUAAAUCUAACUAAUUAAUUAAUAGUAUCCUAGGUUAAAAUUUAAACUUUUCUUCCUAAAUUUUAUCAAUAAAAAAGAGUAUAUAUAUAUUCACAUAUAUCUGCAUGGUUUUAAAACAUUUUAUACAGUCGUUCAAUCACAUUUAUUCUUUUACUUGAUCACUUAGGUGGUCAAUAUAAAAGUCAUUUAUUUUUGCUAACGUGACACUAUAUAAUUUGAUACACAUAUAAAAUUAUUUUACGCUAAGAGUGCAUUAAAAUCGCCAAUGAGUUAUAGCUCAAAUGGCAUAAACUCUCCAUACUCAAUUAAGAGGUUGCGUGUUCGAAUCAUAUAUCUUUCCAAAUUUAAGUCAAGAAGCAAUAGUUCAAAUGGCAUAGUCUCUUCAUACUCAAUUAAGAGGUUGCGGGUUCGAGCCUCCAUAUCUUCGGUAAAAAAAAAAAAAGUGCAUUAAAAUCAAAUUCAUAAUUAAAAAUCUAAUUUUUCUUAAAAUAGUAUGAAUUAAAUUUUAGACCUUUUGUUCUUCAAAUUUCCAAUACUAUAUUAUAAAAUUAUAAAGUCUUAAAUGAAAAUAAUUAAAAUUAUAGUAGUANNNNNNNNNNNNNNNNNNNNNNNNNNNNNNNNNNNNNNNNNNNNNNNUUAUUUGAUGGGGAGUAGCAUGUAAUGUGGUGGAGCACAUGAGCCUAAACGGCGUUGAUUUCGGUGAUUCCUUGCUUUCUUUUUUGUCGUUUUUGGUUUGAUACUCAAAGGGAACAGGGCAGGGAAGAAGGUAGUGAAAAUUAUAACUCAAACUUCGAAGCAAAUUAAAACAAACACAAACACAUGCUUCCUUCUAUGCCCUCUAUUCCCACAUUCACCUAAUAUUCUUCUCACUAUUAGACAACCACCUAUUUUUCUUAUUUAUUUUCUAUCAAAUGUCCUCAAAUCUCGAGCUCUACUCAUUUUUUUGGUUAAACAAAUAUGUAGAUUGAAUACUACUGGUUAUUUCAAAGUUAGAGUACGUCUUUAAUUCUUUUGGAAUUUUAAUAUUUAUAGAAUUAAAUAGUUUUUAUAUAACAGUGAGAAUCAUACUCGUAUUUUUAUGAAAUAUGCACCAAUUCUUAUGUAUCAAAUAAUGUAACAAUCAUCUUUGGCUGGUAAAAUUCAACAUUGUUUUUGUUUUUGGUUUUGUAAGUAUUCUUGUGGAAAUAAAAAUUUUAGUAUUGUUUUUAUGAGUUUAACUUUUAUACUGUUCACAAAGUCAUCUAAUUAGAUCAUUCAUCUAAAUAAUUUUUUAAAUAAUACAUUUAAAAUUUAGUUACUUUCUUUUUUUUUUUUUUUUACGAUAUCUUCUAAUUCUCAUAGGCUGGUGACUAAUUUGAAAAAAAUAAUGCUAGGGAACUAAAAAGGUAUUAGCCAAAAACCAGCCAAAAUAUCUUUGGGUGAAUCCAAAAUCUCUACGAGUUAAUAUAUAUAGAUGUUUCUUCUGCUAAGUAUCAGAAUAUUUCUUUUUCAUACUAAAUUGAUGUUCUUUUAUAUAUUUUUCGAAUUUUUUUGUAUUGCAAAUGUGAAUGUCUCUAUUUCUUUAAGAAUUUCAUUUUUUUUUAAUUUUAUAGAUAUUUAAUUAUUUUUGCUAAAAUAUAACUAGAUAUUUCUUUUGUUAAGUAUUAGGAUAUUUUUUUCAUAUUAAAUGAAUAUUUUUUUAUAUUUCACACAAAUUGCCACUAAUUAUUUUUCUAAAGCUUUGACAUUUCGGAUCUGCAGCGAGGAAGUUCAAGAGGGAAUUCCAGCGGUGCUGAUAGAGUGUUGAACCAACUACUAGCAGAGAUGGAUGGAAUGUCUGUUAAGAAAAACAGUGCUCAUCAUUGGAGCAACAAACAGACCUGGCAUUAUAGACCCUGCAUUGCUUCGGUUAGGACGUCUUGACCAAUUGAUAUACAUUCCUUUAAAGCAAUCGGAGGAAUGGGUCGCGGUGGGGAGGCGGAGAGAGCCUGACGGUGAGAGAGAGAGGUCUGUAUGUAUGAUUGUUGGAGGUGGGUAGGUUAAUGUGAAAGAGAAGAGGAAGAUUUUUAUAGGUUUUAAUUAGGUUUACUUAAUCAAUUUUAAAUUUUUUAAAUUUUGAAUUUAAAAAAUUUAAAAUUAAUUAUUAAUAUAAAUUAAUGUGAUUUUGUUUAGUUUUUGGCUGGUAACCUCUUGGUUCCAUAUACUUUUCUAUUUGAAAAUAUUCAAAUUCGUUAUACUUAUUUAAGUAGAUGAAUGAACUAACUAUUCAAUCAAUCCGGAUUAGUUAGUUAUUACUUUUUGCUAAUAUCUUACCUAAAGUUAUUUAUUAAGGAGGAUGCUUCCAUAAAGACGCUUAAAACUACGGAUGUACAUGGGCCGGGCCACACCGGGGUUGGUUUAAUUCAAAUCCGGCCCGAAAUAUAGAUAGGGCCUAAUUUUUAGACCCUAACCCGAUCUUAGACCCGAUGAAACCUAUGCACCUUCGGGCCGGGUGAAAAUCGGGUAAAAACCGGAUGAAAAUCGGGCCUUUAGCAUGUAAAAAUCACCUAAUCUCCAACCAUUAUUUCACAAUUCACAUAGUAAAAUUUACUUUAAAAAAUAUAACAAGAACCAACCCUUCUCUAAAAUUAAAGCAUAACUAUAAUCAAUACUAAUAUUGUCUAAUAACACCAAAUAUUUAAAUCAAUACAAAUAACACAAUAUUAUGCAUUAGUCUAAAGUCUUAUGCAUUUUAAACAUAAAAUAUUAACUUUUAAUCUUAUAAUGACUAAUAACACAAAAUAUUAAGGUUUACAAUAUUUAAAUUCCACAUAAGAAUAGCCAUCAUCCAUCACUAAUAGCACAAAAUAUUAAUUGUGUAUGAUGACCGGGCCAUCAGAUCGAGUUCGGAUGACCCGAGCUAUGGUUCGGGCCCGAUUCGAAAUAAUGACCGGGUCUAUUUUUGAUACCUUUACCCGGCCCUAGACCCAGGGGCGGAGCUAACCUCAAUGUGAGGGAGGGGCCAAAAAAAUUAAUUUUAUAUUUAAAAUAAAACAUUUAGGGGGCUAAAUUAAAUUUUAUGUAUAAUUUAUAGAGAAAAAUUGAGGGUUGGGGGAGGCCAUUGCCCCCUUACCUUCUAUGUGGCUCCGCCCUUGUCUAGACCCGAUGAAAUCACACUAAAUUAGUCCUUAAAGUGUUCGGGAUUGGACCGGGUCAUGUGCACCCCUAUUUAAAACGUCUUUUUGUAAAGACGUUUACGUGCCGAUUAUUAUUUGACGUAUUAAUGAACCGGUUAUUUUUUAAUUUCUUAACAAAUUAUAAUAAAAUUGAUUUUUUUUAUUACAAUAACAAUAAACCUGUUUUUUUUAGGGAUCUAAUUGUAUUUUUAAAUUUUUAGGAAUUCAAAUGUCUGUAAAAAAUUUAAAGAUAUAUUUGUCUUUAAACCCUAAACCCUAAACGCUAAACCUAAAACAAAAAGUCAGAGAUAUAUUUGUCUUUUUAUCAAAAAAUUUAAAGAUAUUCGAUUUAGAUUGUGUAAUUCGAUCGGAUCAAAUCGGGUCUAAUAAUUAUAAUGCAGACAAUUGAGUUUAUUAUUGUUGCUAUAAUAUACUGAUUUUGUUCUGAUUUAUUAAAAAAUAAAUUAUAUAUUAACCGAUUUAAUAAAGAUGUCCAAUAAUAACAUACAUAACAUAUAUAAAUAUUAAAAAAAAAAGACAUUUUUAAUGUCUUUAUUAAAGUGGUCUCCAUUUAUUAAAUAAAAAAAUCAUUAGCUUAUCAUGUUUAUUAAUUAUUUAUUUGUGUAACUUAAAUUGUAUGCGAUGCAAAUUAUUACCUUUUUUGGGUAAAGUAAAAUUAUGAAAUUUAUAGUGUAGAAUUUAUCAUUUAAUUCUCGUGUAAUGUUUUUUUCAUGCUAUCAUGAUGGAAAUCAAUGUCAUACGCCAAAAUCAUAUGGUUUGGAAGAUUCAGAAAUAUAUAUAAAGAUGCAUGUUAGAUCAUAGAUGUGACUCUAAGUUAAUAUAAAGGGGCAAAUCGAACUUUUGUCAUGAUGAAGUUUGAUUGAAUAAAAAAAGGAAAUGGCACUCAAGUAUAAGAAUAAUAUUCACUAGAGAUCAAUGCAAAAUCAAACAGAAUGAUGAAAACUCACAUGUAUAAUUCUUUUCAGAAGAUCACAUUGUACAUUUUUCUUCAACUUUUAGAAUCAAACUUGCAUGUGAUCCAAAAUUCAAGAUCUUUUUUCUCUUUACAUAAUAUACACACCAUCUAUAUGUUCUUUCUUUUUCUCUAUUCUUCUAAUUUUGUUUGAUUGCAAGAACUACUGAUAUAAAAGUAUUUAAUAUAUUAACAUAAAAUUACUUAUGGUAAAGUAUGCUUNNNNNNNNNNNNNNNNNNNNNNNNNNNNNNNNNNNNNNNNNNNNNNNNNNAAGUUCUCAACUCUAAAUCUCAAAUCUUUCAAAAAAUAACAAUUACAAAAAUAAUUUUACAAAACAAACAAAUUAAUUAAAUAGCAACUAACUAAAAAUUAAUUUUCUAUAAUUAUUCAUAUCAACAAUACACAUCAAAUUCAAAUUUUGUACGACAAUAGAUAUAUAUUCACUUAGUUAAAUCCCUUUUUUUUUUGUCUUGAUGGAAUUAAUUUUGAUGAUGAAGUUGGGCUAGCCAGUGGUGCACCACCUCAUCACAUGUCUUGCUUGGUGGAGAUACAAAUGAAUGAAACUUGGAUCUGAUAUGCAUAUGAGUCAGGUUGGCCAAAUAUAGUGAAACAUAAGCAUCAUAAGGUCAAUGAGAUAAAUAGUAAUUAAUUUAACUAUACCUUAUACAAUGCAAUAUGUAACACCAUGUCUCUUCUUCCUUCAAUUGCACUUAUAUUUACUGCUCAAUCAUACAUCCAUGUUCAACAAAUCUUAUUAAUAUUCAAAUGGGAAAGGGGAAAAAAUAAUAUUUAUGUAUGUAUUUAUAACAAAAUAUACAUAUGUAUUCUUAGAGUUAAAGAAAAAAUACUUGAUUUUCUUCAUGAAAAAUCUAAUUAUAUAUUAUUGCAUUAGUAAAAUUUUUUGUAACAAAAAAAAAUUAACAAAAAAUAACCAUAACUUAUUUUAUUUAAUAUUUAUUAAUUAUUAUGAUAAUUAAUAAAUACUAAAUAAAUUUUGAAUGAUUUUUUUUCUCUCUAACAUUACCGAUAUAUAACAUAGUCGAUACAAAAGAGUAAUGUUAGGUAGACAAAAGAAAUAGUGAAAACUUGCCUUAUUUAGUAUUAAUUAAUUAUCGCAGAGUCAUACAUGCAUAAAACAAAAAUAUAGUUGUUGCUUAUUGUAACGUAAAGUUAAUUAUAAGGUAAUUAAUGGCAAGUUGUUUUAAUUAAAUAAUUAAUUAGAAGAAUAAGAAGAAAAGAGCAAGAGGGGUUAGUUCUUGUAAGUAAGACAAACACAUGGAAUAUUUAUCUCUCCAUAGAACGACAUGUUGACCGGAUAUUCCCCCUGAUCACAAGCUUAUUGUUGAAAAUUGUUCAUAACACAAAAUAUAAUUAAUGAAUUUAAUUAACUAUAUAUAAUUAAUUAAGAUAGUAUAAAUAAAUAAACAAAAGCAAAGUUACAUUUCCCGGAGAAUCUAGAGCGCAUCAGGCGCUGACCAUGGCUUCGGAAUCUAUUAACAAAUGGGUUGGUUUUAUUUAAUUAAUUAUUAUGAUAAUGUGGCUAAGCUAUGAUCUUGUUGUCACAUUAUUAAUCAACAUACAUAUAAAAACAAAAUAAGAAAGGGUUAGGAGGAUUAAGGCAUGGGGUAACGAGCAUAAUUGAAACAUACAAUACGCCAUAAAUGCACAAUGUUAUAAUAUAAUGUUUUUAUUAAUAUAUUAUAGCCAUGAGCAAAAGAAAAAUGAUAUUGUAUAGUCAUAGGGACAAGAGAAUAUAAAUGAGAACAAAAGAAGAGAACAAAGAAAAGUUAGAGUAUUAUGACCUAGACAUGGUCACGCCCAUAAGUCACGUGAGGGAAGCCAUGUUGACGCCGAGGAAUAUGGUAAUGCCAUUGCCAAAUUCGUCGUAUUCCAAUACCUGAAAAUUCAUGUGCAGUCGACUUCAGUGAAAUUGAUAACUGAGAGUUAUUAGAUAAUUUAAUUGAUUUGACUAAAUUUUCAUCUAACGGCUCUCAGCUAUCAACUUAUGUAAAGUCGACUGCACCUGAAUUUUCACCAUUUCAAUAUAUGUAAUUCUUUUCUNUCUCCUAAUUGGCGCUUGCUUCAAGAAUUGAUCCAAAGUUCUCUAUGAUGAGAUUGUAUAAUUUUAAUUCUUAUCAAUACACCAACUUUUUUAUAAGUAUUUUAUUUUACAAGUUUUGGUAUGUUUUAUAUAAUUAUAUAUUCUAAAUUAUCAUGCUAAAGAAUUUGCUGAUUUCUAAAAAACUCAUUUUAUUUUUUGUGGUUUUGAAUAAAGUAAUAAAUAACAACAAAAUAAAUCUAUUUUUUUUUUAUGUCUAGAUAUUAGGAGAGUAUUCAUCAUUUCUCAUUUUCUUUAUAUAGUAAAACUUUUUAUACUAGCUUUUUUAAUUGAGUGGAGAUUUAAUUUCAUUUAGAAGAGUACACAAAAAAAAAACAUGUUCAAUUUUUCUUUAAUUUGAUUGAUAUAUAUGAGUUAGAUUCUCAUUAUUAAUAUAUAUAGGAGACUUUAAUGGUAGGUAAUUUUCUAACUCUCUUGUCAAUGUUCCUUUUUUUAAAAUAGUAAAAUAAAAUAAUAUGCCCUAAUCUUAGAAAGAUGAUAGAUAAUUAUUUAAUAUAAUACCAUUUUAACCAUAAAAACAAUGGAUUAACUUAUUUUAAGGGAGAGUGUAUAAUAUAAGAUAUAUAUGCAAUUGGGGUUGGAAAUAAAUGAGUAGACGACAGGUGAAUUGGAGGUGUAUUUUAAUUUUAAAUAUUUUUAUGUGCUAAUUUUUCGUUGGUAAUUAUUGAUUUUUUUUUUGUUUAUUUGCCCCCCCUAAUAACAAUCCUACUAAUUAGACAAAUAGGUAGCGUUGAAAUUCUUAAUGUAUAACACCUUGGAACCUGAGAGGAACAAACAACUAACACAACACCUACUUCUACCAAUUCCCACUUGCACUUUAUUAUUUUCCUUUUUCACAAUAACCCACACUAUAUACCUACUACUACUAUACAAUUAAGUAUCAAUUUGAAUAAAUAAGUAGUACUAUUCACAAGAUAGAAUUAUUCUAGGAUACAAUAAUUGAGCUGUAUAAUAUAUAUAUUAUACUAGCUACCAUUAAUAUUAAUUUUAUUGAAAGUGUCACUUGAAAGAAAGCAUAUAAAGUGUUCAAAUUAAAGCUAUGAAAUAAUUUUUUUUGUUUUUUGUAUUUAUGGUAUAUAUAUAUAUAUAUAUAUAUAUUAUUAAUACAAAAAAAUAUAAAAUGUCUUAUAUAAUUAAAAAUAAUUAUCUUGUUUAUUUUAAUAUUAAUAAAAUAUUAAAAUAUUAUUAUAAUAUUUUUAAAAAGUUUUUUUUCUUUUAUACAUUAUCCAAUAUCUAACAAAAAUUUAAAAUUAAUACAUCCGUAUAUCUAUGUUAUAUCAUAUAAUGUCCCGUAUACAUAUCACUAUCCUAAUAUCAUAGUUAGUUCAAAUUAUGAUAAUAUAUUAAUAUAUUACUUCAUCAACAUACUUUUUGAAUAAUUUGACUGGAUUCCAUCAAAGUUAUUGUCAUGGGAAGAGGGUGUAUGUUUAUUUAUUAGGAUUAUAUAUAGCGCAGUAUUAUAUAUUGUUCACGGAUGGUAAAAAUGAAAUUUUGGGAAACAUGAUUGUUUAACUAAGAGCAAAUAAACAAUUAUAUAAAAUAGAAUAAAGUGACAAAUAAAUUUUUAAAAAUUUAUAUUUCGAAUAGAUCAGUUUCUAAAGAAAAAAAAGUAUGACUUUAAAAAAUUUUAUUAAUUUUUUAAAAAAAAAAUUAUUUAAAGUGUAAAUUUUCAAAAAAUUAUUUGUCAUUAUAAGUUUUGAAAAAAAAAAACAUAGGGAUGCAUAGGUUUGGAAAAUUAUCUUAUAGUUGGGAUGGUUUUUAAUUCCCACGUGUACAGCUCGACCUCAUCAAUAGUUAUAUUUGUCCUGAAAAUAAUAAUUAUAUAUGUAACGAGAAUAUUUGGUCUCUCUCAAAAGAAUUUUAUAAAAACUUUGGUGAUACAUAUAUUUUUUAUUUUUUUAAAAUAUCUCUUCAAUAAUUUUCUAGUUGAAAAUGAAAACUAGAUAUAAAAGUUUUUUUGUUCAAACAAAAUGAUUAGUUAGAGUUGGACUUGACCACUAGGGGUGAUUAAAUUUUAGGCUAUUUAUUAAUUUAAUUUAAGGAUAUAAUUUAUUAGAAUUUCUUAAUUAAGUACAAUUGCACGGCAAGAGAAAAAAAAAAUAAAAAAAAAGGGAGUAUGAAAUAUUAAUGGAGAUUUGGUCUAACGGAAAAUGACUAGCUAGCCUCUCUGUGUUUGUGUCAUGAAUUAUAUUUUGACUUUUAGCUGAGAGAGGUUUUCACAUUACUAUUUGACCGUUUCUUCUCAAUGGAAUAUAUAACUGUAAAAAACCAAGAAAGAUAACAUAAAAUAAUUAAUAUUUUUAUUCAUUAUUUGACGUCUCAACUAUUCUCAUUCAAAUAUAUAUAUUAUUUCACUUGAAAGACUCUUUUAAUUUGAGUAUUAAAGUCUCUUUUCAAAUACUUUAAAUCCUGUAGAGAUACCAACGCAGAACAAAUAAAUUUAUCAUAAUCUCGUGUUUGUGUUCUACUAUUAAUUAGGAGAGGUAACCCAAUAAUUUUUUUUUUUUGUCUCUUACAUUACAAAAAAAAAAAUAUUAUAUUAAUAAUUUUUUCUCUAAAAUAGAAAAAUAUAAAUGCGGCGAGAUAAACACAACAGUUUACCCGUUAGAUAGUAUAUAGCAAAAAAAGUUUUGGAAAUUUCGGGGAAAAAAAUGAAAAUUUGUCUUUUCUUGUUACUGCUAGUCAUUAACAAAACUGUAAAUAAAAUUAGAACAAGAUAUUUAAUUUCCAUAUUACUAUUUCUAGAAGAAUGGUACUAUAUCUCUUAAUUUGUGAUGACGUUGGAAAAUACUACAUUCAUUCAUGAGGUUAAUGCAAAAUUUUUCCUUUUACCAAAAAAUUCUACUACCUAAAACAAAAUUAUCAUUAAUUUUUUUAAAAUUAUCAUAAAAUCGUUUAUUCAAAAAAUUUAAAGUAAUUAAAAAAGAUAUAUAAAUAUAAUUAUAUCUNNNNNNNNNNNNNNNNNNNNNNNNNNNNNNNNNNNNNNNNNNNNNNNNNNNNNNNNNNNNNNNNNNNNNNNNNNNNNNNNNNNNNNNNNNNNNNNNNNNNNNNNNNNNNNNNNNNNNNNNNNNNNNNNNNNNNNNNNNNNNNNNNNNNNNNNNNNNNNNNNNNNNNNNNNNNNNNNNNNNNNNNNNNNNNNNNNNNNNNNNNNNNNNNNNNNNNNNNNNNNNNNNNNNNNNNNNNNNNNNNNNNNNNNNNNNNNNNNNNNNNNNNNNNNNNNCUUCGUUGCGUCUCCUUGCUCCGGUGUGUCUCUCGUCGUCGCAUCCUCGUUCGUCGCUGCUGUCACAUCUGGCCAGAGUCUGCUUCGCCGUGCUUUGACAUGUUGGUUUUUUCUCUUCUUUGCGUUCUUGAAACUCCCUAUCAGUUUUUUGAAGUUAUUCAGUUGGCUUAUAAUUUUAUUACAAUCAAGGAGGCGAUGCUGCUUGGGAGGCGCGAUGAGAACGAAGGAAUAGGGGAGGAGCGAAAAGUCAAAUGCCAUUACAGAGAGUUAGAAUACAUCUUCUGUAAAUAAUUUGAAAAAAAAAAGUCAUGUUUCAAUUUUUAAUACUUUAAAAAAUUACAUAAUUACUCAUUUUAAUAAUUAAUUUAAUUAUAAAAUAAUCUAAUCAUGAUUAAUCUAAUAACCAAUUAAAAAAUAACACAUCACAUAGAAUAAAUUACAUAUUACUUUACAGAAAAUAUGGUAGAAUUUACCAUUUAUAUAACUACUGUUCAAAAAUUUAUGUCGAUAAAAAAAUACAUAAAUAAUUAUAUAAAACAAAAACUAUAUUUGAUGGCUAUAUAGGCACAGUCCUUGGUGGUUAUGUACUAAAAUGGACAUUGGUCAAGGUAUUCCAGAGCUAUAUGUUUAAGAGAAGGUUGAUGAAGUGUGAUUAAUGGAGAGGGUGAGGGUCAUGAUCAGGGUUUAGAACAGGGAUAUUUUGGCCCUGCCACUCAAUCCUCCUUCAUAAAUACAAAUGGAGAGAAUAUUCCAAUUCAAGAAAAAUACAUUUUAUUAAUUAAAUUUUUUUUAAAAAGGAGAAGAAUAGGAACAAAAAGAGGGCAGGGAAUUUUAAUGGGUCACAAUCCAUCAACAUUAAACCAUAGAAACUCAAUUCCCAUCCCAAUAUUCCAUUGAAUAGUACCCUUUUUGGCUUUAUUCUCCAAUUCCAACCAUAGUCCUUGCAGCAACCAUUUAUAUCUUUCUGCUAGCUAACUGCACUCUCAUUUUUCAAUUUAAUGCAUUCAAAAUUAUAAUAUUAAAUUUUCCUGUACUUUCAAUAAAAUUAGUAAAAUAAAAAUAAAUUAAAUUAAUGGCUCUCUUAAAUAAAAUUAAUAAGGUCAACUUUUUUUUCUAUCCUAGUCACUUAUAUUGGUAACUAUUUUAUAUAUUAGAUCUCAAUUAGUAUGAGUCAAAUUAAAUUAAAUAAGAUGUGUGAAAUGUUAUAUAUAAGAUAAUGCAAAAUUUUAGAUCUCAAAUUUUUUAGUUCACAUCUAUAUGCACUCCUUUAUAUAAAAUGUUAAAUUUGGAGUAAAUUCCCAUAUUUAUUCCUUAACAAAAUUAGAUUUUUAAUUAUUUAAUUUUAGUUUUUAAAAUUUAAAAAAUUAGGAUUAACAAUUAAAUACAUUCACGUUACGUACUAUUACUUCUAAUUCUACCAUAACCUCUCAAUCUCUGAUCCUCACCCAAAACUCGCCGUAGUGCCGGAAACGGCCAUUCCAAUGCAUCAUAAUGCCCCUAGGGAUGUCAAUGGGGCAGGGCGGGGGCGGGGGAUGCCUCCCUGCUCCCCAUUCCCGCCCUCAGAUUUGCUCCCCAUCCCCGCCCCAUUCCCCGCCGUGGGGGAAUAUUGCUCCCCAUCCCCAUUCCUCACGGGACCCCAUUCCCCGCGGGGACCCCAUUCCCCAUCUACAUAAUAGUUCUAACUAAUUAUUAAUUUCCAUAUGAAUAGAGCUGCAAGUAUCUAUCUUAUACAAAAACUGCAAGAUUUUAUACAAAAAGUCUAAAUGAUACGAUGGUGACUUCUCUCGAAAUAACGCAAUAGGGGGACGCAACGACGAGUCAAAGGACAAAGCAGUGGACGAGGUAAGAGACGUGGCAACAGAGAGGAGAAUGGACACGACAGCAGAGUUAUGAAAAAGAACGUUGCAAAUAGAAAUUACGACGCGAUAAGGGUGAUGGCACGGUGAGGUGUGACGAUUCGGUGAGAAUAGUGACGAGGGGGUGGCUGCAGAGAGGUUAGAUGGAGUAUGGACAGCCUUAGGGAUCUCUGAAUUGAAGAAGGGUUAUGCAAAUAAAGAUUAGGAGUUUUGGGUUUCUAUAUAUGUGUAUGUGAGAAAUGACUAAAAAACAUAUAAGAGAAAUAAACUAUUAAGGAUAAUUUAAGGAAUUCAUAAAUUUCGGGGAAUAGUGGGGACGGGGCGGGGAUCCCCGCUCGGGUCCCCACGCCUGCUUCGGGGGAAUUUUGUCCCCCAUCCCCAUCCCCGCGGGGAAAAUUCCCCACAAUCGGAUCCCCAUUCGGGGCAGUCCCCGCAGGGAUCCCCGCGUCUCGGGGAAUUUUGCCAUCCCUAAAUGCCCCUGUUUGUGCACGCUGCUGCACCCCACGCCAAUACCGCCACAGCCUAACCGCGUGCCGCUAUCCCUCCGCAGCCCGUGCAGAAGAGAACCAAUUCCGUCCAAUUGGCUUAGCGUAAUAAUAAUAAUAAUAAUAAUAAUAAUGCCAAGAAGCAAUAGUUCAAAUGGCAUAGUCUUCUCAUAUUCAAUUAAGAGGUUGCGGAUUCGAGUCUCCAUAUUUUUUGUUAAAAAAAAAAAUAAUAAUAAUAAUAUAUUGUGAUUUUGAGAAAUUAUUUUGUUAUAUAUACAUAAUAUGUAAUAAUUUGUUUUUUAUGAGAAGGGGUACUGUAGUUUACUACUACUACUAAAUCUAGAAGUAUGAAACAAAAAAUCUUGGAAUUAAAUUACACCUGCAGUGUACUAUAUUACAGAUAAGGGAAAAUGGACCUUAAGGCAAUAGCCUCUCCUUUUCUCUCACUCCAUUAUCUUUCUCCUCUUUCUCUUUCUUCUUUCUCUAUCUCUGCAUUCAUACAUAUGCUACUUUCAACACUAAUCCCUCACCUUCCACAAAUAAACUCACUACUACUUCUCUUCCUCUUUAUUAACAUGCUUUAAUUCAUUUAUGCACUCCUUUCUUUCAAGUUUCAACCCUAUAUAUCUAGACUCACUUGAAUCCUUCAAAAGCCUAUCUUUUUCUCUCCAAAACCAAUGCAAAUCAUCAUUCACUCAUCAUCAUAUAAUCAAUUCAACUUUCAACCAUUCUUACUAUAUUUACUUCAUCAUCAUUUUUACUUUUUUAAAUUCCUAUUAAUUAAUUAAUUAAUUAACUACUCUCUCUCUCAUCCCCCCUUUUUUUUCCUCUUUUAAUUUGUGUUGUUUAAUUUAUAUCUCUAUAUAUAAUUAUUACCACUUCAUAUAUACACUUAUUAGUUCUCUAACAAACCUAGCAAGUAGAGAUCUUUCUCUCUAUUAUUCUCUCUUUUUUUUUUCUAUUAGCAUCUUGAAUUAUUGUUCUUCAUGUUGACAAAUUCUCUUCCAUCAAUAAUGCAAACCUUGUUAGCAUCAUCACCCCCUAAAUUUCAAGGACCAGAUUUGUCCUUAAACAUAAGCCCUCCAUGUGUUGGUGUUUCAGAUUCCGAAAACAACAACAACCUCAACAACAACAACAUGAACAUGAACAUGUUCCUAAGUAGUAGGAAGAAAAUUCUUUACAAUGAUAUAAGUACUAGUUCAACUACUUCAGAUUCAGGUGGUAGUAGUUGUGGAAGUGCAAGUGACUUAAGCCAUGAAAACAACAACCUCAACCUUCUUCAUCAUGAACCUACAUUGACCUUAGAUUUGAAUAAUUACCAUCAUCAUCAUCAAGGACUUUCUAGAAGCUUUAACAAUCACCACCAUUUCCAACCUCAAAUCUAUGGCCGCGAGUUCAAGAGAAGCUCCAGGGUCAUUAAUGGAGUCAAGAGGAGCGUGAGAGCACCUAGGAUGAGAUGGACAACAACCCUCCAUGCCCAUUUUGUUCAUGCUGUUCAACUCCUUGGUGGCCAUGAAAGUAAGUAAUAAUUUCAUCAUCAUCAUCAUCAUCAUUAUUAUUAUUAUUAUUAUUAUUAUUAUUAUUAUUAUUAUUAUUAUUAUUAUUUGUGGGGAAAAAAUGAUGCCAUGUUAUCAUUGAUAAAUUUUACACACGAUCUACUCAAUUUUUUGUUGUUGUCUACGGUAUCCUCCAAUCCGACGUACCAAGGACUAAUCCGUCAUGGAUUGGAGCUCCAUUUAAAAAUCUGCCGCUGGACAAAUAAAUUGCUAUAUGCACAAGAUAAAAAAAUAUAAUCUCUUAUAUAUAAUCUUUUUUUUCUUCUUAUUAUAAAUAUAACAAAAAAAUAUAAUAAUAAUACGUUUUUAGAUCAAUACUUGAUUUACAGAUGUACUAGAUAAAGAAAAAAAGAAAAUAAAGAUAUAGUUUCAUCUUUGAUGUUAAUAAGGUUAUUAGUUCUCCAUAUAUAAGAUGAAACUUUUUGAGGGGGUUUGUGAUGUCAACAUUAUUGUAUUAUUGCAGGGGCAACACCAAAGUCAGUUUUAGAGUUAAUGAAUGUUAAGGAUCUAACCCUAGCACACGUCAAAAGUCACUUACAGGUAUAUAUAUAUGUGUGGCCUUCACUAUUCCCAUAUCUCCAUUGUCUAUCUCCAUUGUUUUUCUUUCUUUCUUUCUUAUUAUGAUGAUGAGCUAUGUAUCCGUAUUUUUCCUCUUUUUGAUUUUCAAAUUUAGACACAAAUGAAAAUUGAAAAGAAAAAGGGACUAUAUUGUUUGUUGUUUUGGUUAGUUGCCUCCAGUAGUGGGCAAGGUAUAGAAACAAGGACUAAGGACAAAAGGGUAUCUAGAUGGGAAAUCUAAUAAUCUUAACCCUCUGGAAACUUUUUAUUUCUUCUCAUAUUUUACUUUUUUUUUAAUUUAACUUGAUAAAAUAGUUGCUUGAAUANNNNNNNNNNNNNNNNNNNNNNNNNNNNNNNNNNNNNNNNNNNNNNNNNNNNNNNNNNNNNNNNNNNNNNNNNNNNNNNNNNNNNNNNNNNNNNNNNNNNNNNNNNNNNNNNNNNNNNNNNNNNNNNNNNNNNNNNNNNNNNNNNNNNNNNNNNNNNNNNNNNNNNNNNNNNNNNNNNNNNNNNNNNNNNNNNNNNNNNNNNNNNNNCUUUAGUAGUUAAUUUUGGUGAUCGAUUUUAAUAUAAUGUACACUUAACAUGAUUGAUAUAUUAAUUAGAUGAGUGUAUAAUUUUUUUUAUUUGAUAAUAAAUACAAAUUAAAUCAUUAUUUUAAUUGUUAUUUUAAUUUGGUGUGUUCUUGUAGAUGUAUAGAACAGUGAAGAGCACUGACAAAAGCACAGGUAUAAUUUCAUGAAUUUGUGUGUGAUCCUUCUCAAAGGGACCCCAUAUAUAAAAUAUUUUCUUCAUAUCUUCCAAUACUAUCAUUAUUGUUAUUCUCUUUGCUUGUGAUCUUUAGUGUGGCAGAGAAACUCCAUGAUUUUUUUACCCCUCUCUAGAUAAGUAGCAUAGUACUAUAUAGUAGUGUUUCCCCUUAAAAACAAAAGGUGGUUUUGGAAGGGACAUAUAUAUUAUAGGACUGGCACUUCAAUUAGUUCUCAUGUGAAUUAUUGAUAAGCUUUAAUUUGUAUGUGUCUGAUAAAGCAAGUGCAUUGGCUUUUAAUGUUGAUGGAAAAAUUUUCAGGUCAUGGCCAGACAGAUAUGGGUUUAAUCCCAAUGCCAAGGAUUAAUAAUGUUGCUCAUUUGCAUGCCAAUAAUGGAGUUUCAGCUUCUCAUGAUGAUAGACCAAAUAAUUUACCACAUCCACCACAAAAUUAUUCCCAAAGGUGAAUAAUAAUUAAUAUCUUGUUUGCCUAUUUUGUUUUUCAAAAAUAAUGUUAUGCACGUCUAAAAAAAUGUGUGUUUAUAUUUUAUAAACUUAUAUAAUAUCAUGUUUUCCUUUUUAAAAAAGGAAAAAAAAAAUUUCUAAGAAGAAUUUAAUUUGAUAGACUGUCAGUAUAAAAUCAUUUUACAUGUGUAUUCAAUCAGAUAAUGUCGUUUCAGCAAAAAUAACUAUCUUUUACAUUGAUCACGUGAAUGGUCAUUUAAAAAAAACGGUUGUGAUUACAUAAUUGUAUAAAAUAUUUUACACUGUUAAUGCAUCGAAAUUAAACUCUUUGACAUAAAUAAUAAACAUAAAAAUUAACAACUUUUACUUACUCAAUAAUAUUUAAUUUAAUAUUUGUGUAAUUUUUUUUUUUCAUAUUGCUAUUACAUAAAAAUACAUCAUUUUUUCCCAUAUAUAUGCCUUUGAUUUUAUUUUUAAGAUGUAUGUGCAAAUAACUCCAAUAAUGCUUAAGAAGACAAACAUUCUAAGUGUAGUAAAACAAAGCUAGAGAACAUUAUUAUACAUCACUUUUUGUUAAGCAUCUAAUUAAUAACGAUUUCUCAUCCUUGAUUGCCUCUUUAAUUUGGUCCAUGUUGACUUUACAAAUAAAUUAAUGUGAACAUAAAAGUAUAUAAAACUCUAGCAAGUGAAUUACCGCUAGCUAGGUUCAACUAGUAUACAUGCACAAAUAUUCACAAAUGCCUCGUGUUUGGUUUUUUCUCCCUUUAAUAGUAGUGUUUAUUGUUUUCAACUUAUGUUUAAUUUGCCUUUGUUCUUAUCUUUUUGAUUUCGGGGUUCAAAGUUCAAACUCCAAAAUUAAUGACGAGAAACUCUACCAAUACAUAGAUUUUGACGUGCAAUAACCUAGGUUUUAAUUUAAUUUAAUUUAUUUUAUUUUUUUCCCCAUAGGUUUGUGGGUGGUCAUUUUCUAUAUGUGAGCCCUAAUGAUGCUUUUUUACAUUUGAUCGUCAAUGUAUUGAUUCCAAUGUGUCUAUCAAAAAAGUCUAACAAUUGAUCCAAAUCUCAAUGUGUUAUAUUUAUUAGUACAAUUAUUUUCCUUUUUAUUUUAAUAUAUUAGAUAAAAUUUAUUUUUUGUCCUUAAAAUUUGACAAAAAAUUUAAAAAUAUUUUUAAAUUUUAUUUUGUUUAAAUUUUGUUUUAAAAAUUUUCAAUUUGCAUCAAAUAUAUUUUUUAUGGCUAAAUUUUCAAAAAAUUUAAGUCCAACCUAACAAUAAUACAUGAAAAUUAUGCUUGAUUUGUUUGUAUUAAGAGUUGUUCUUAUAAAAUUGUUGUUGAAUUGGUUUUUAAUUUUUUAAAAAAUUAGCUGUGAGAAAUAUAUUUGAUGCAAUUUGAAAAUUUUUGGGACAAAAUUAAAAUAAACUAAAAUUUAAAAAUAUUUUUAAAUUUUUUAUCAAAUUUCAGAGACAAAAUCAUUGCCAAGGAUUGUGUGUGGUUUAUUUACUCGUUAAUUUUUUCAGAGGAAUUAUUAGUAAACAUCCUCCAUGCAUGCUAUGAAAUAUGAAUGAAGGACAUUAUAUUGGAUAAAUUCAUGUUUUGCAUUCACUUGCUUAGCAUAAUUUAAUUUGAUUUUCUAACAUAUAUUAAUAUUCCAUUAAAAAUUUUAACAUAUUGUUUUUCUUCCCAAUAAAAGUUUUAUUUUGGGAAAUUGAUGCUAACAUUAUUUAGAUGUUGACCUCUAUAAUUAUUGCUACUAUCUAACCAUUAAAAACCUAUCUAUAAUAAAGUGUUAGCAAUGCCAUUUAAUUAUACUAUACAUACAGAUUUGGAUAAUUUUGAAUAAUUUGGAGUAUUGCUUUAAUUUGGUUACCUAAUUAUCUGAUGAAUUGAGUUCUAAAUUGGAGUAACAGUUUGAUUUGUUGGUUUAUAACAAGUUUUACUAUGUAUACUAAUACUAAUAAUAAUGUUAUGAACUCAAAAUCAGGUCAUGGCAAUCAUCAAUAAUGGAGGCAAAUACAAACAAUAGUAGACAAAAACCCCAAAUUGGUUUGACGGAUUCUCAUACAAAGGGAUAUGAAACCAUGGUAAGUUGAGACAAAUUGGGUCAGAAACUGGACCUUUCAUGUGGCUUCUAGUGUUGCUAUACCUUUCAUUACAUGUGUUAUUUUUUAUUUUAAUUAUUAUUAUAUAUAUACUUGGUGAUAAAUCUUAAAUAAAAAAUAAUGCUAUAUAUUAUUACUCUUUCUUAUAUCAUUAAUUAAUGGGCAAAGUAUAUUUUUUGUCUUUGAAGUUUGGCAAAAGUUUUAAAAAUACCCCUAAAUUUUAUUUUGUUUUAAUUUUGUCCCAAAAGUUUUCGAUUUGCAUCAAAUAUAUCAUCGACGGAUGAAUUUUCAAAAAAAUUAAGACUAAUCUAACAAUAAUGCAUGAAAAUUAUGCUUGAUUUGCUUGUGUUGAGAGGUUGUUCUUAUGAAAUUGUUGUUGAAUCGGUCUUAAAUUUGUUGAAAAAUUAGUCAUUAGAGGUAUAUUUGAUCAAAUAAAAAACUUUUGGGAUAAAAUUAAAACAAAAUAAAACUUAAGGGUAUUUUUGAAACUUUUGUCAAACUUUAGGAACAAAAAAUAUACUUUACCCUUAAUUAUUAUUCAAUUUUAAUUAAAUGUGUAUAUAAAUUAAAAAGUAAUUCAAAAAUGUUGAAGUGAUAAUAAACAAAAAACUGUUUUGGAUAAUAGGAUUGUCAAAAUGGGUUAUAUAAAGUUACUAUAUAUUAAUUAGAAAAUAAUGUUACCCAAUUUUACUUAACUAGAAAGUUAUUUUUGUGAAAAAUUGAAAUUUUAGAGAUAAAUGAUAACUUCAUAUUGGAGGGAGUUCUUAACUAGAUAUUUUAUGUGUGAUGAUAUAAAAUUGGACAUGUAUAAAUAUUGAUUAUUAAACUAAUAUAUAGAUAUUAUGUUAAAUAGGUGGAAGAGCACAAUUGUGGGGGCAUGUCUAAUUGCAUGAAGGAGAAUAAGUUGGAUUCUACUCCAUUGUCAAGUUCUGAUGAGUUGAUGCUUGAUCUUGAAUUCACCCUUGGAAGGCCAAAUUGGGAAAAGGAACAUCAAAAGGAGUCAUCAAGAGUAGAAUUAACCCUUCUCAAAUGUUAAUCAAUUAAUUAAUUGACUAAUCACUAAUUAAUUUCCUUGUCACUAAAAAAAUAGUAGUAGUACUACUACAACAACAACUAGCUUACAUAUAUUAUGAUGAUGAAGCUAAGUAAUUAUUAUUGUUCCAUGUGAAUUACUAAUGAUUUUGUAUUGAUAGUACAUCAUCCCCCUUUUUUUUUUUUUUAUAAAUUUUAGAAAGAGAGAGAUAGAUGCAUGGAACUAAAUGGGAUAAUAAAAUGUUGCUACAAAACAUAUGCUUGAGUCCAAAGAGUUUCAUGUCUUGUCUUUGAUGUCAUUUUCAGUGCCAAGAGUGUAAGAAUAAAAAGGAAGAAGAGAAGGCCAUGGACCAUGGCUUAUACUUAGGCAAAAGAGAUCAGAGGACCCAUUUGGGAAUUUUUAUUUUGGACAUGUGGGUAAAGUUUUAUGCCACACUAUCAUCACAAUAUUGUUCUCAUCAUAUUAUCUCUACCAAGGAAAAUUAUCACCAAUUUUUAUGUUAGUGACAAAAAAAAUAGAAUUUAUUUAAAGGGAAAGAAAUUAAAGGGAUCUAUACACCUCAAAAAAAAAUAGUCCGUGCAAUAUUUUCAAUCUUUUUUUCUCGUGAAAACUCAGGUGCAAUCGACUUCACGUGAAGUUGAUAGUUGAGAGCCGUUAGAUGAAAAUUUAGUCAAAUCUGUCAAAUCAUCUAACGACUAUCAGCUAUCAAUUUCACAUGAAGUCGACUGUACCUGAGUUUCCACUUUUUUUUCUUAUCUUAAAAUCUCACUACUUAUCUUCUUAGAAGGAGUAGCCCUAAACUAAAAAUUCUUUUUUGUAUUUAUUUUGUUGAAUUAUGAUUAAGAAUUCGAAUUCAUCUUUUUAAUUAUCCUUCUAAUACUAAAAUGAGAAAAAACUUAAAUAUGUGUGUUAUUUUUUUAAAAAAUAAAAAUAUAAAAAAUUUAAAACCUUAUUUUUCUAUUUAACAUAAAUUAAAACUCUCAACACUUUUUCAGUUUUUCUUCUUUCUUUCUUUUUUUCGGAACCUUCAUCCUUUGGAUAUUUUUCAUUGCUUAUUUCUAUCUUCUAUGAGUUGGCCCAUUAAAUACUUUGUAGUGGGCCUAAUAAGUCGUAUUUUGUUGAUUUAUACACUUUCAUAAGCUCUACAAAAUGGCCCACAAUUGGUAUAUGAAAAUAAAUAACAUGAUUUAUACACAAAAUAUUCGACACUUACAUAAAAAGUAUAGUUAUUAAUUAGUUAUAUAUUUAAAUUAUUUUUUAAAUAAAAAUAAAAAUAUGUGUUAAUUGUUAAAAAUAUUAAAAUUAAAAUAGUAUCUAUUAUAAAAAUAACAAGAAUGAAAAAAAUCAUACAAAUCGAAAUUAUGUAUUUUUGCCACAUCAUUGAACUGAUAAUGGAAAGAAAAAAGACAAAGAAUUACUCCAUUAAUUCAUUAACAACCCUCUAUUUACUGAAAAAAAGUAAAUAUAUAUAAAAUUAGUGGUUGACUUUAGACAGACACUUUUUAAUUUAAAUAUGGAAGGAGGAAUGGUGUAGGACACAGUUAUGAAGUGUAUGACUGUUUUGCGUAAGUGUGGUGUCAAGAGCAAAUCGGACCCUCCGAUUUGUAUUUGAAAAAUUAAAAAAAGUUGCAUUACACAAAGCGGACCGUCCGAUUUGUAUUUUAAACAAUUAAAAAUAAUUGCAUUACACAAAUCGGACCGUCCGAUUUGUAUUUUAAAUGAUUAAAAAAAAUUUAAUAAUAAAAUCGGACCAUCCUAUUUUUGUUUUCAAAAUAAAAAAAAAUUAAAAAUACAAAUCGGACCCUCCGAUUUUCUCUCUUACACAAAUCGGACCAUUCGAUUUGUGUUCAUAAUUUUUUUAACAAAGAAAUCGGACAGUUCAAUUUUUUCACUUUAUGGUUCAAAAAAAAUUAUCUCACAUUCAUGGCUAGCACCACCCACCUUUAUACCCAUGCACAACACACACAGAAUUUGCAUAUCCAAAAAAAUGAGCCGACAGACAGAUUCAUUUAUUUAAAUUUAAAUAAAAUAAUAAUAUGCUUGAGUACUUAGAUCACGUCAAAAUUGUGAUUUUAUACAUACGGUACAAAAUUCAACUUGCGUACAUUUAAAUUUAAUCGUUAUCAUCCUCAUUCAUCAUCAUGACGAAUCUGAAUUCUCUUAUAAUUCAUAGAUGAUUUUUGUCAAAAGAUAAAUAAUGUCUGCGCACUCCAUGAUUAUUAUUUUUUGUGCCUGUGCUUUUCAGUUUUCACAGACAAUGAGUUGGAACCCAGAAAUUUCUCUGCACCGUGACACUUCAUAAAUUUCGGUACUACGUAACAUCACAUCAUCACCAUUCUGCUAAAUUUUUGUCUCUUAUUGCUCAUAAAGUUUUAUACUACAAAAAAAAAUUUAAUAUUUUUUUUAGAAUUUAUUUAUAUUGUGCCUUAAAAAUACAUGUUAAAAUUAUAAAAAAAAGUUUGUUUUUAAAAUAUAAAAAAUUUAAAUUUUUAAUAUAUUUAUUUUAUAUUUAUUAAAUAAAAAUAUUUAAAUUUUUUUAUAAAUAUUAAAUUUGUNNNNNNNNNNNNNNNNNNNNNNNNNNNNNNNNNNNNNNNNNNNNNNNNNNNNNNNNNNNNNNNNNNNNNNNNNNNNNNNNNNNNNNNNNNNNNNNNNNNNNNNNNNNNNNNNNNNNNNNNNNNNNNNNNNNNNNNNNNNNNNNNNNNNNNNNNNNNNNNNNNNNNNNNNNNNNNNNNNNNNNNNNNNNNNNNNNNNNNNNNNNNNNNNNNNNNNNNNNNNNNNNNNNNNNNNNNNNNNNNNNNNNNNNNNNNNNNNNNNNNNNNNNNNNNNNNNNNNNNNNNNNNNNNNNNNNNNNNNNNNNNNNNNNNNNNNNNNNNNNNNNNNNNNNNNNNNNNNNNNNNNNNNNNNNNNNNNNNNNNNNNNNNNNNNNNNNNNNNNNNNNNNNNNNNNNNNNNNNNNNNNNNNNNNNNNNNNNNNNNNNNNNNNNNNNNNNNNNNNNNNNNNNNNNNNNNNNNNNNNNNNNNNNNNNNNNNNNNNNNNNNNNNNNNNNNNNNNNNNNNNNNNNNNNNNNNNNNNNNNNNNNNNNNNNNNNNNNNNNNNNNNNNNNNNNNNNNNNNNNNNNNNNNNNNNNNNNNNNNNNNNNNNNNNNNNNNNNNNNNNNNNNNNNNNNNNNNNNNNNNNNNNNNNNNNNNNNNNNNNNNNNNNNNNNNNNNNNNNNNNUAUUAUCAAUACAAAAGGAUAUAUUAUCCGCUCCUAUAAUUUUAAAAAAUAUUAUAAAAUAUAAUAACUAAAUAUUAUACCAAAACUUUACUAAUAACUAAAAAAAUAAACUACACAUGUUAGCUAAACUUUUUUCUUUAUUCACCCGUAUAUUCUGCUGCUAAGGUUAACAAUUAUAGGAACAAAAUAAUUGUUUGGCAGAAUUUGUUGAUGUUAGUCAACAAAUUUAUGACCUUGCUACAUGAUUUAUUUUUGGCCAAUAUUAUAGUGCUGAAAGAAAAAAUUUUCAGUUGAUGCUGAAAGAAUUUACCUUGUUGGUAAAGUUCUAGAUGACUCUGCAACUAUAGAGAGUGGUACAUGAGAUAAUUAAUUAGAUGAUCUUAGCUAAUUUUAAUAUACACGUAAUAUAGUCCCACCUUUAUUGAGGAAACAAUUGGCAAUUAAAUUAUGGCCUUUUAGCUGAUUUUAAAGAUGUAUUAUUAGUUUAUUGCAUAGUUUUAGACUUUGGUUACAUCUAAAAGCAUAUGCACUUAUUAUGAUUUAUUUGUUUUCUUUUUUAUUUAUGUUUUUAUUAAAAAGAAAUUGUAGUGGAGGAAGAAUUUCUUAGUUACAUAUACUAAAGGUUGAUUUUGAAAUAUAUAUUAUUAUUCUUUAAAUCUAAGUGCACAUUAAAAUUAGACAAAUUACAAUGGGAAGAGCCCACAGAAUAUAUAUCAAAGUCCAAUGCAAAUAAUUUAAGAGAGUAAAAGGAGAUAAACCCUAAGGAGUUCUUAAUAAUUUUUUUUUAAUUCAUGAAAAUCAAGGAACCUGCUGCAAAGUACAAAAAAUUCAGCUAAAAUAUCUCCAAGACACUUGGAGGGGAAAAAAUAAAAAAUAUCUCACCUUCAAAUAUAUAUAAUAUCUAAUAUCUAAUAUCUAAAGUAUAUUUUGGAUUAUUUACAAUGGAUAGUUUUUUCUUUUUUUUUUAUUUUUUAUUUUAUAUUUUUUUCAUUAGAANNNNNNNNNNNNNNNNNNNNNNNNNNNNNNNNNNNNNNNNNNNNNNNNNNNNNNNNNNNNNNNNNNNNNNNNNNNNNNNNNNNNNNNNNNNNNACAGAAGAGGGUGGUCUUUCUAACUGCUAAAUUAGACAAAAAAAAAAAAUUUUGGAGAAACACUACUAUAAGAAUAAGAAAGCUGUCACUUCAAAUAAGUUUUCUUCAAUAUUAACCUUUCUCAAUUUUGGCUAACAUGUAGUUUAUAAUUUAAAUUUUUAGGGUGUGCAAUUUGAAACUUAACAAUGAUCAAAUAAUACAAAAAAGAAACUAAUGUUAACUUUUCUUUCAAAAUUAUUCAAAUAAAAAAAAUUAACAGAAGGGUUUUUAUUUGUAUCUUAAUUAACAAUUUUAAAGUGUCAAAUUGUCCGUUAAGAAACGUAAAAUGCCAUUAAAUUGAAGCAUUCUAAUAAACAUCUGCAAUGCUGAUUUGUGAAGCAACGACUGGAUCAAACCAAAAUUUGUUCCUCAAGAAUCCAAAGAAAUCAGGAGUUUUCAAAAGAUCAUAAAGCUCUGGGAUUAAUAUCCCUCCCUACAUAAACCAAUAAAAUUGCUAUGAAUAUUUUGAGUACUAGCUAACUCCAAAAGUCAUUACAUUUGACUAUAGAGAUCAAGAUUGUCCCAAUCUAAUUGAUAAUAAAAAGUAAAAUAAAAUAAAACAUAAUUAAAAAACGAGUGUGAAAUUGGAAAAGUUGUUGAAUAACCUCAAUCCUCAUCAUAAGAGAGACAAAAAAGUAACUCGUCUUAAAACUAUGUGAUAAGAAUAAUACAACCUAAUCUACUCUGUUCAAGAAAACAUAUUCCUAACAGCAACAUUUAUGCUACGGUAGUCUUCCCUUUAAUGUCUUGGUCUACAGCAGCAAACCUGUCCACAAUGGAUAGGGUCAUGAAUUAAUUGAGACAUUAUAAUAAUAGAAAGAACAGUAAGAAGAGAAAGGUGCAUGCUUACACAUAGUACUUCAGAUGGGGACCAACUUUAAGAUUACCCUUAGAUUCAACCUUAGCAGAAAAAUUACCCUCGGUUUGGAGCUUGACUCUGGCAUAAGGAACAAUGGUAAUAUAUUGAUUUGGACGGUCUAUAUCCCUUUUAAUAUCCAUUUGAUCUGUACUAGUAAAGACAUAGAUCAGACUUUCUUUGCUUGUGUGGUGACAACAAAAAACGUUAGACACCAUCCCCAUCUCAUCCAAAUCAUUCACAUGCACAACUGCCACGGGUUUCUUCUUAGACAAGUCAUAGAUGCACCAAAUAGAUACAACAUCAAUAAUAAGAAGAAAAUCACUGCAACCCAGACGAACGAGUUUCCUACCAGCUUUGUAAUCACAAAACGGCGGAAAAUUGCACUCAAUGGGGCUCCAAAUGUUGGCAUUCAAAUCAUAUGACAUGAGCCAUUGAUUCACAUCAUCAAAAGAAUACAACACAAUGAGGGUUUCCCACAAAAAGUAAGAGUGAGGAUUCAAGCGCAUGCCGGGCACUUCCCUCUUUUCCCAAAAUUCUGAUUUUAGGUUGUAGAUAUCAACCCAAUAAUCACCAAUGCAGCACAAUUUGCCAUCGUAUGGAAUUAUUAUGGGGCGCAAUUGGUGGGGGAAAAGGAUGGUUCUGCAUAAACUCCAAAUCCAAGUAUGACCAUCAUACUUGAGGCACCAAAUGUUUCUAGCGCCAUCAAAAUCCAGUUGCCUUUCAAUAUCCUUAUCCCGGUCACCAAGAAAGAACAAGCUGAGACCAACGGAACAACAAAAUUUUUCAGAUAAUGGUAAACUAGAAUCGCUUGUUCCACCAUGUGGAAGAGGCCAUUUGACAGUUACAGGACCUCCGUCUUCAAGAUCAACAGUUCCAUUCUUCAUGAAGUUGGCCUCACUGAUAGUUAACAUCCUGCGCCUGUAGGUUCUACUUCUAAAUCCAUCAUACAGAUUUUCCACCAACAUAUAUAUGCGUUUUGGAUCACAACAACCAGCAUCAUCCUGUAACUAAGAAAACAAUCAUAAUAUUUAGGAGAAAAAUAGAUCACCAGUUUAAAACAAUUAUCUAUCAAAUAGAAAGCAUUUCAGUAGUGUAAGUAUUGAUAAUAAAUCGUACCCUGGCUAUCGUCAAACCCUUAAAUGAAGGUUAAAUUCACAGAGAGAUGGGAUAUGAAACCAAAAAUUAUAUACAUGUAACAUAUAAAGGAUAAGAGCAUGCAGAAAUCUACCUCAGGUUCAGAUUCCCUGCACAUGCCAUUAGCAACUUCUCCCGAAACCGUCGCAACAAUGCUUCCCCACCACUCUUCAAAAUCAGAACCGUAUUGAACAUGAUCCAAAUCCCUAAUAUGAUUGACGGCCUUAGCCAUCAAAUUCUUACCAUCCCUUUUGCCCACCACAAAUGCAGUGAAAUCGCAAGUCUUCACAACAACCGCUCCGAUCCCAAAGCUCUCCGCGUUUUUCAAGAGCCAACUAGCGAAGUCCUUUGCUCCUUUGCUGUUGUCGGCGAACGGUAGGGGAGGUUGGUUAUGCGAAGUUGAAUGAAGGAGGAGGAUGAGGUUCUCCUUGGGUAGGUCUUCGGGAUCGUAAGUCCGAGCAUCUACGACCUCCAAAACGAGGCCUUUCGACUCUAACAAAUCGCAGAGGCUCUUCGCUAGGGCUUCUGCAGUUGAAAAUCCGAUUUGCGAAACGAACAGGAUCUUGCCACGAGGAUUGCGUUUGGGUUGCUCUUGAUGGAGUGUUAUGAGAUUCUCUUUGUGCGGGCGGAGGAGGUGAGACUUGUAGAUUGAGAAGAAGGAUGCGGCAGUGACCGUGGCGGCGGCCACGCUGGACAGGAUAGCGGAUACCGAUACAUCCGCCGGUAACGAAGGCAACCAAAGGAGCAUUAUUGGCUACAAGCUCAAUUUUGAUGCAGCCAUCGAAGAAGGUGGCGCUGGGGUAGUGAUUCGAUGUUCUUCUUCUUGAGAGAGUACAAGAGCUAAUGGAAUAUCUGUACAAUGUGUAUAAUGAAGUUUAAGAAGGUUCGAUUUAAUAGAUAUUAGAUGUUUAUUAUUCCAGAUAUCGGAUGGUUAUUCUAAAUAAUAUAGGUAUAUUGUGUUUAAAAAAUUAAUAAUAUUUUACCCUAAUGUUUAUUGAAUAAUCUUAUGAUAGUUCCUCAAAUUUCACCUAACCUUCUUAGUAUUUCUAAAUUUGCAGCUGACAAUUUAAUUUUUUUUUUUUUUAGUUUUGGCCUAAUGCCUUGUUCGCAAUCAGGUUACCAAGAACCUUCUUCUACAAGGAAUAACUAAAAAUGGCAAUUAUGUGUUUUCACAUUUGUUUGUGAGGAUUGAUAGGCCAGUAAUUUUAGUGUUUUAUAAUCAUCAAUUGACCAUCAAUAAUAUUUUUAAUGGUGUGAGAUUACAUCUAUACAUCAGUCUAAGCAUUACCCUAUUAAGUGGCGUUGGUGAAACUUAAACCAUCCGAAUAGUAACAGCUGCUCUUUCUUGAGAAUUAGGUUCUUUGCAAAUGUUUAUUUCAAUUUGAAUUAGUAUUUUAGCUGUUUAAUGAUAUGAUACCUUACUGUUGCUCAUAUUAACAGAUGCAGAUGCACAUCCUGAACCUGCUUCCGCGGGUAAAAGUGAGGGUGGGAAUUAUGAAUUAUGUCUCACAGAGGAGGCCUGUCACUGAAGAAGAGAUGAAUAGUACCCUUCAGAUGGCUAAGGCAACAUGUACCGAUGACAGCCUCUGGUGUUGUCAUGCGACCAACGCAUGUUUAUAAGAGAUUCUUCGUGGUAAUAAUUUGCCUCCUCAGCUUUCCUUGUUAGGAUUUGUUUUUGGUUUAGGUUCUAAUGUGCCAUGAGUUUUUGCUUUCAGUUUUAUCCCAAUACUAAACCGGUUAUUUAAACUUUGGUCUUAAUAUAUACUAUCCUGAGUAGCCUUCUUUUCUUGUGAAACUUGGGCCUCUUUUUUUCUGUUUUCACUUUUUAUUUUUUAAUGUUUUUGGUUUUCAAGGUUUUGUGAAGGGAAAUAUGAAACAAAAGAUAUGAUUUAUCAUUUUCAUUGAAUUCAGCUUUUUUUUUCUCCAACAAUUUCUGAAAAACAAAGGGGAAAAAAUGAAAUGAAAACAGAUUCCAAUCAGACCUGGGUGCGAUUGGUUUUUACUCUAUCUAUUGCUCCUAAACUAAUUGUUUUAUCUUUUGUUGUUACCAGUAGCUCCCGAAUAAGUGGACCCUAGAAACACCGGAGGACUGAGCGGAGGGUGGAAACGCUUUACCCUGGAUAACAACCUGGAAGAGUACGACGUGUGUGUUUUCAAACCCGGAGGCCUGAUGAACAACACAUUGAUCUUGGAUGUCAACAUUUUCAGAGUUGUUGAGGAGAUUAAGCCUUUGACACAAGUGAGAGCUGCAGGAUCAGCCAAAAAGAGUGGUAACUGGUAAGAAAAAGGCCUUAAAGGCCAUCCAAAUAUAAUAGAACCUCUCUUGUUAUCCCAUCUUUGUGGAUAUUUCGUGUUAUCUUGAAUUAGUGUAAUUUAUUGUUGGAAGUGUAAUGUACCUUAAAACAGGUCAGAACUUAGUAGUCUUAUGGCAGAGACAUAGUUCCUCAUGAUGUGUGUAUUGUAUGCUAUUCUCGGAUUGUGUUAACUUCUAUGUGUCUUCUAAUGGUAAUUUAGUGUUAAUCCUCUCUAUUGCAGCACCCUUUGUAGGCC